rnacentral:misc_RNA from 1 species
UACAGAGACUGCGAGCGUUAUUCGGAUUCACUGGGCGUAAAGGGUGCGCAGGCGGCCGUGUGUGUCAGGUGUGAAAUCCCGGGGCUCAACCUCGGAACUGCGCCUGAAACUACAUGGCUAGAGUAUUGGAGAGGGUAGCGGAAUUCACGGUGUAGCAGUGAAAUGCGUAGAUAUCGUGAGGAACACCAGAGGCGAAGGCGGCUACCUGGACAAUUACUGACGCUCAGGCACGAAAGCGUGGGGAGCAAAAGGG